UCGAGGAUCUUCGGCAAUGGGCGCAAGCCUGACCGAGCGACGCCGCGUGUGCGACGAAGGCCUUCGGGUUGUAAAGCACUGUCGGGGGGGAGAAAGGGGCGCAAGCCCUUGAUCGACCCCCGGAGGAAGCACGGGCUAAGUUCGUGCCAGCAGCCGCGGUAAGACGAACCGUGCGAACGUUGUUCGGAAUCAUUGGGCUUAAAGGGCGCGUAGGCGGGUCGGCAGGUCAGGGGUGAAAUCCCGCGGCUCAACCGCGGAAGUGCCUUUGAAACCGCCGGUCUCGAGGGAGGCAGGGGAGCGCGGAACUUCCGGUGGAGCGGUGAAAUGCGUAGAUAUCGGAAGGAACACCGGUGGCGAAAGCGGCGCUCUGGCCCUCUUCUGACGCUGAGGCGCGAAAGCCAGGGGAGCAAACGG
rnacentral:rRNA from 1 species